rnacentral:rRNA from 1 species
UGGGGAAUAUUGGGCAAUGGGGGGAAACCCUGACCCAGCAACGCCGCGUGAAGGAAGAAGGUUUUCGGAUCGUAAACUUCUAUCCUUGGUGAAAAUAAUGAUGGCAGCCAAGAAGGAAGCCCCGGCUAACUACGUGCCAGCAGCCGCGGUAAUACGUAGGGGGCAAGCGUUGUCCGGAAUGAUUGGGCGUAAAGGGCGCGUAGGCGGCCUGAUAAGUUUGAAGUGAAAGUCCUUCUUUUAAGGAGGGAACUGCUUUGAAACUGUUGGGCUUGAGUGCAGGAGAGGUAAGCGGAAUUCCCGGUGUAGCGGUGAAAUGCGUAGAGAUCGGGAGGAACACCAGUGGCGAAGGCGGCUUACUGGACUGUUACUGACGCUGAGGCGCGAAAGUGUGGGGAGCAAACAGGAUUAGAUA